rnacentral:sRNA from 1 species
AGCUUGUCCGGGUCGACGGCGCGGGCGGCGAGCAGAUAGUCGCGCAGCACGAUGCCGUGCCGGCCUUC